rnacentral:lncRNA from 1 species
UUCUCCUUUGCUCUCUUUAUAGAAAUGAUUGUAUCAAUUUAAGAAUGUUAUUCUUCCACACUUAAGAAUUAGUUUCACAAGUUCCUCCAAAGGUUUGGCUAGAUAUUUCUUUGUUAUUACAUUUAAUGCACAGAUUAAUUUGUAGGGAAAUUUGUAGUGUUACAUUAUAAUGCUAAGUUGUCUCAUCCAUUAACUUAUCACUUGAUUUUCUUCAGGUCUUCUUUAAUUAACUUCUAACAGAAUUUUAAAUUUUGGCCCUAAAGGCUAUGUGCAUUCUCAGUGAGACUAAUUUCUAGAUAAUUUAUAGAUUUUUGUUUUAUGUAAAUGGUAUUGAAUUUUCUACUAUGUUUUAUUUAUUGAUUAAAGAUUGUGUAAAGUAGUGAUUCUCAGUCUACUUGAAAAUAAGUUAUUCGGGCAGCUUUUAAAAGAUAAGGAUGCUUCGAUCAUCUUCCUGAUCAAUUCAAUCAGAAUUGAGUCUACAUUAACUUUAUACACAGUUGACCCUUGAACAGCACAACAGGACUGCAGUUGUGCACUUCUAUGUAGAUUCUGUUCAACAAAGCACCGAUGGAAAAUACAGCAUUUACAAGAUGAGAAACCCGAGUACACAGAGGAUCAAUCUUUGGUAUAACACGAGUUCCACAAGGCUAACUGUGGCAUUUGGAUACUAUGACUCAUUUAUUCAGAAGUCGCUUGGUUACCUAUGUGUUUGGCGUGGGGCUGGACUACCAGCUUGGACUAACUUAGAAAACUGGGAAAAGAACCAACUUGCCUCAAAAACAAUUUCUCCUCUUUCUCUUUAUCCUUUUUCCUCUAUUUAGACUGCUACAUUAAUAAUGAACCUAAGCUACAGAUAAACAGAAUUCAAUCACUGUGGCCAAAAGACAGGAACUUAGCUGUGGUCAGUCUCCCACAUCUGAUGUCCUCGUGGUAGAGUUCAGGGUUAGAGACUAAGCUGAAAGGAAGGAUGGGACUAGGAAGAAUUGCAUAAUCAGACCUGCCAUAUCCACACACAAAUGGCCAAGUCCAGCCAGAAAUCUUCACAGCUGUUUGAAUAAUAAAGUGGAUAAAUGAGAAGAGGCUUCAGUAAGUUAGAUCAAGCAAGUUCUCAGUACCCAGAGCUAUACUGGGAAAAGCCGUUAGAUAAUGAUAACCAAAUGUAUUUUCCUUGACUGUUCUAUAGGAUUCAGGAGUGUUACUAAAUUGUGCCUCCAAAUCUUAAAAAUAAAAGCCUCAAAAUCUAUG